GCAUGUCUCCUCCUUUCCCAGUCGUGCACGCCGCCUCCUCCCAUUCCUUCUCCCCUUGUUCCAGCGGCUCUCAAUCUCCCACCACGACCGCUCGAGAACGACGGCGAUGAGGAGGCCCGACCCUUGACGCAGACCCGCGCCCCCGAGCGGCGGUGACGUCAGAUCUCUCCGUCUGGCGAGGCCAGCCAUCCCGUCCGUGCCGCGAUGCCGCCAGUAAGGAAUAAAGGAAGCCCGUGCUGGGGCAGCCAACGCGGCGUCGUGUGCGCCGGAGGGGGCUCUGGCGACCGCGUGGCGGGGGACUGCGCGGCGUCCAGUCGUGGGUUCCGGCGACGCCAAGCCGUAGAUCUGAGACGCCGUCUCCACUUCCUCCUUCCUCACUUCAAGAUGCUUUGGCAGGGAUCCUCCGUAUCAAGGGAAGAGCGGGGUAGUGUGGGCGAGGGAAGUCCUUGUGUACCAGGUUUCUGAAAGAAACAGAAAAGGAAACAAGAUGCAGUAAAAUUUAGAUCCUUUGAAGGUGGUGCUAUUGUUGAAUCUUGAUUCUUGAUGCUAUGGAUAUUGUCUGCUUUCAACCCCACCCUGUACUACUCACCAGUAUAAAUUGCGCCUGGGUUAUGAGACUUGUCGGCGCAACCUAUCAUUUGAUAAAAUAUAUCAACCUGGGGGAAUAUACUUUUGCUGGAUUGUUUGAGACAUCAGAUAAGCCCUGUAAAUUUUGCUCAUCUAUCUAUUGACGAGGGUAGGAAAUAGUCAGGGUCUCCUGAUCUUUCAUGUUAUAUCACUUCUUUACGCUUCCAUGGCGUAACUCCUUAUUUGUUCGCCGACAGUGGCCAUUAUUUUGUCUGAUCUCCUGUGUCGAAGUAUGGUGGUUUUACUUUUCUUGUUCCAUGUGAUACAAUUACUUGAGAUGUCCACGGUUAAUUAUCUUAAUAAGAGUCAGCAAACACAAAACACAUCCAGUGUGCCCAUUAACGCCAUCCAAACAAUAAUAUGACUAAUCUGCACAUGUAGUUUCAAAAUGGGAACGACCCAGUAAAAGCUCCUGUCUCUGAACCUAACCAAUAGCCACUCUUGGUUUGGUUGCCUUGUAGAAGAUGUUAUCCUCUCACUAGCAAAUCCUCGACCCAUCCGAUGGAUCGAAGGACACAAAGCGGAUCUUUGUGCCAAGCACAUCUAGGAAUCUGUAUGUUGGGCAGGGUUUAGAUGAGGUGGACUCUGAAUCUAUGUCACUGAGCUUGAGGAGAGUAAUGCACUGGUCGUAGCCAUUGUAGCACCAGGUGGUAGGACCGAAACAUUUGCAUCUGCUGUUAUUGACAUGGUUGGAUCUUCAGGCUGGAAGCUUGCGUUAGUCGCAGCAAGGAUUACCAGCAGCAGCAACCAACCUGCAGAGAUGAAACCGAGAACAUUUUCACAACCAGGGAAUAGAAAAUAAUAUGGAUGUGCGAGAAGAAGUUUCUAGGAAAAUGUACAAUGAACCAGAAUGUACCAUGUCGAGUGGGAAUUCUCAAUUGACGAGAUGCCAAUGUUCUGGUUUCGCACCCGUUCUGUGCGCAUGCUCCAUUCCCCUGCAUUGCGCCUUCCGUCCCAGACACCCCCGGCUUCUACAGUGUCGACCGCUACUUUUCUGCCACGCCCACAUGUGGGUCAACGAUGGCACAUAUGUGCAACUGCUCGAGCAGGCGAUGGUGAAGGUGAGCGUCGGCUCGGUGGGGGCAGUGGAGGGCGAUGAUGAUGCCGGUGUGGACAUGAAAGCGGACGAAUCUAUUGCAAAGUUCUAUGCGUAGAUGAACUGCAGUAGCAAGUCUCAGAUGGUGAGGAGCAAUACAAUGACUUGAUGGUGAGGAGCAUCUGGUAGAUAUACAUAGUGUUAGAUUGCUUUUGGACAAGUCAUCGUAUGUAAUGCAUCUUCAAACCACGUAUAUAACCUGCUGCUACUCCCCAAGUUUAAUACUCCCUCCAUUCCACAA